AUUGAACGCUGGCGGAAUGCUUUACACAUGCAAGUCGAGCGGCAGCGCGGCCUUCGGGCUGGCGGCGAGCGGCGAACGGGUGAGUAAUGCAUCGGAACAUGCCCAGUCGUGGGGGAUAACACUUCGAAAGAAGUGCUAAUACCGCAUACGUCCUGAGGGGGAAAGCGGGGGAUCGCAAGACCUCGCGCGAUUGGAGUGGCCGAUGUCAGAUUAGCUAGUUGGUGGGGUAAAGGCCUACCAAGGCGACGAUCUGUAGCUGGUCAGAGAGGAUGAUCAGCCACACUGGGACUGAGACACGGCCCAGACUCCUACGGGAGGCAGCAGUGGGGAAUUUUGGACAAUGGGGGCAACCCUGAUCCAGCCAUUCCGCGUGAGUGAAGAAGGCCUUCGGGUUGUAAAGCUCUUUCGGCAGGAACGAAACGGUGGGCUCUAACAUAGUCCGCUAAUGACGGUACCUGAAGAAGAAGCACCGGCUAACUACGUG
rnacentral:rRNA from 1 species